rnacentral:rRNA from 1 species
AAGUCGAGCGAACGGAUGAGAAGCUUGCUUCUCUGAUGUUAGCGGCGGACGGGUGAGUAACACGUGGAUAACCUACCUAUAAGACUGGGAUAACUUCGGGAAACCGGAGCUAAUACCGGAUAAUAUUUUGAACCGCAUGGUUCAAAAGUGAAAGACGGUCUUGCUGUCACUUAUAGAUGGAUCCGCGCUGCAUUAGCUAGUUGGUAAGGUAACGGCUUACCAAGGCAACGAUGCAUAGCCGACCUGAGAGGGUGAUCGGCCACACUGGAACUGAGACACGGUCCAGACUCCUACGGGAGGCAGCAGUAGGGAAUCUUCCGCAAUGGGCGAAAGCCUGACGGAGCAACGCCGCGUGAGUGAUGAAGGUCUUCGGAUCGUAAAACUCUGUUAUUAGGGAAGAACAUAUGUGUAAGUAACUGUGCACAUCUUGACGGUACCUAAUCAGAAAGCCACGGCUAACUACGUGCCAGCAGCCGCGGUAAUACGUAGGUGGCAAGCGUUAUCCGGAAUUAUUGGGCGUAAAGCGCGCGUAGGCGGUUUUUUAAGUCUGAUGUGAAAGCCCACGGCUCAACCGUGGAGGGUCAUUGGAAACUGGAAAACUUGAGUGCAGAAGAGGAAAGUGGAAUUCCAUGUGUAGCGGUGAAAUGCGCAGAGAUAUGGAGGAACACCAGUGCGAAGGCGACUUUCUGGUCUGUAACUGACGCUGAUGUGCGAAAGCGUGGGGAUCAAACAGGAUUAGAUACCCUGGUAGUCCUCGCCGUAAACGAUGAGUGCUAAGUGUUAGGGGGUUUCCGCCCCUUAGUGCUGCAGCUAACGCAUUAAGCACUCCGCCUGGGGAGUACGACCGCAAGGUUG